AGUGGCCUACGGGGGGCAGCAGUGAGGAAUAUUGGUCAAUGGACGCAAGUCUGAACCAGCCAUGCCGCGUGCAGGAUGACGGCUCUAUGAGUUGUAAACUGCUUUUGUACGAGGGUAAACCCCGAUACGUGUAUCGGGUUGAAAGUAUCGUACGAAUAAGGAUCGGCUAACUCCGUGCCAGCAGCCGCGGUAAUACGGAGGAUCCGAGCGUUAUCCGGAUUUAUUGGGUUUAAAGGGUGCGUAGGCGGUUUGAUAAGUUAGAGGUGAAAUCCCGAGGCUCAACUUCGGAAUUGCCUCUGAUACUG
rnacentral:rRNA from 1 species